UACGUAGGGUGCGAGCGUUAAUCGGAAUUACUGGGCGUAAAGCGUGCGUAGGCGGUUCGUUAAGUUCGUUGUGAAAGCCCCGGGCUCAACCUGGGAAUGGCAAUGGAAACUGGCGGGCUGGAGUAUGGCAGAGGGGGGUGGAAUUCCACGUGUAGCGGUGAAAUGCGUAGAGAUGUGGAGGAACACCGAUGGCGAAGGCAGCCUCCUGGGCCAAUACUGACGCUCAUGCACGAAAGCGUGGGGAGCAAACAGG
rnacentral:rRNA from 1 species